UUUCCCUCCCCACUUCCUCCAGUGCUUGCCCUGACCCUGUAAGAGGCUCCUGAGGAAACCUUCAGGGAAAGCAGAGCUGAUUUCACCCAGGCAUGGGAUGUUUUUGCGGUGUGGAAGACACUAUUCCCUUCCUCACUGGACUAACAAGAGUUAGAGCCAUAUAAAAUACUUCUGCAGCCACACCGGCUCCUGUCAUGAAGCAUGAUCCUGCAGAGACUUAGGUAUGCUCCACUUCAAUCCUGUUAAAGCAAACUGUUGCACUUGACAUGACUGCAGAGCAGUAGACCUGCACCUCCACAUCUUCCACUAUGGGUGGAAGAAGAAUACAGCACAGUGGGUUUGCACUGCUCUUUGUUUUCUUUCUCCUGUCGUCUUUUUCCUGCUCCUUGCACCCUUCUUUCCCUCUCUCACUUCUGCUCCUUGCAACACAGC